rnacentral:SRP_RNA from 1 species
CCGUGCUAGGUGGGGAGAUAGCGGAGCCCUGUAACUUGCAAUCCGCUCUAGCAAGACUGAAUCCCUUCCCGAGGCUGUCCGAAUGUUUGGUCUGCCUUGUGCACGUAGUGUUGACGUUUGGGUCCUGCGCAAUGGAAACCCAUGAACCAUGUCAGGUCCGGAAGGAAGCAGCAUUAAGUGGAAUUUUUCAUGUGCCGUAGGGUCGCCUAGACCGAGCUGGCGACAUGAGUAACGCUUAUGUUCGGCUGUCGGAGGAAGGUGCACGG